rnacentral:rRNA from 1 species
GACGAACGCUGGCGGCGUGCUUAACACAUGCAAGUCGAACGGAAAGGCCCUGCUUUUGUGGGGUGCUCGAGUGGCGAACGGGUGAGUAACACGUGAGUAACCUGCCCUUGACUUUGGGAUAACUUCAGGAAACUGGGGCUAAUACCGGAUAGGAGCUCCUGCUGCAUGGUGGGGGUUGGAAAGUUUCGGCGGUUGGGGAUGGACUCGCGGCUUAUCAGCUUGUUGGUGGGGUAGUGGCUUACCAAGGCUUUGACGGGUAGCCGGCCUGAGAGGGUGACCGGCCACAUUGGGACGGAGAUACGGCCCAGACUCCUACGGGAGGCAGCAGUGGGGAAUAUUGCGCAAGGGGCGGAAGCCUGAUGCAGCAACGCCGCGUGCGGGAUGACGGCCUUCGGGUUGUAAACCGCUUUCGCCUGUGACGAAGCGUGAGUGACGGUAAUGGGUAAAGAAGCACCGGCUAACUACGUG